UACGUAGGGGCCGAGCGUUGUCCGGAGUUAUUGGGCGUAAAGCGCGCGCAGGCGGCCUCGCGCGCCCGACGUGAAAGCCCCCGGCUCAACUGGGGAGGGUCACUCGAUACUGAUCGACUCGAAGGCAGGAGAGGGAAGUGGAAUUCCCGGUGUAGUGGUGAAAUGCGUAGAUAUCGGGAGGAACACCAGUGGCGAAGGCGACUUCCUGGCCUGUUCUUGACGCUGAGGCGCGAAAGCUAGGGGAGCAACGGG
rnacentral:rRNA from 1 species